UCAGAGUGAUGAUGCAGAGAAGGUUUCGCUUAUCGGGCUGAUGUCACGUGAUGUCACCAUUUUCUCUUGGCUGUCUGACUCC